rnacentral:rRNA from 1 species
AUUGAACGCUGGCGGCAUGCCUUACACAUGCAAGUCGAACGGUAACGCGGGGCAACCUGGCGACGAGUGGCGAACGGGUGAGUAAUGCAUCGGAACGUGCCUGGUAGUGGGGGAUAACUGCUCGAAAGAGCAGCUAAUACCGCAUACGACCUGAGGGUGAAAGGGGGGGAUCGCAAGACCUCUCGCUAUCAGAGCGGCCGAUGUCGGAUUAGCUAGUUGGUGGGGUAAAGGCCCACCAAGGCGACGAUCCGUAGCUGGUCUGAGAGGACGACCAGCCACACUGGGACUGAGACACGGCCCAGACUCCUACGGGAGGCAGCAGUGGGGAAUUUUGGACAAUGGACGCAAGUCUGAUCCAGCCAUGCCGCGUGCGGGAAGAAGGCCUUCGGGUUGUAAACCGCUUUUGUCAGGGAAGAAAUCUUCUGGACUAAUACUCUGGGAGGAUGACGGUACCUGAAGAAUAAGCACCGGCUAACUACGUGCCAGCCGCCGCGGUAACAC